CGGGGUGUGGCCUAGUCCGGUAAGGCGCUUCGUUCGGGACGAAGAGAUCGGAGGUUCGAAUCCUCUCACCCCGACCA
rnacentral:tRNA from 7 species